rnacentral:rRNA from 1 species
CCGAGAAUUUUUCACAAUGGGCGCAAGCCUGAUGGAGCGACGCCGCGUGGGGGAUGAAGGGUUUCGAUCCGUAAACCCCUGUCAUUUGCGAACAAACCUUGAUUGUGAAUAGCGAUCGAGCUGAUUGUAGCGGAAGAGGAAGGGGCGGCUAACUCUGUGCCAGCAGCCGCGGUAAUACAGAGGUCCCAAGCGUUGUUCGGAUUCACUGGGCGUAAAGGGUGCGUAGGUGGUCGGUGAAGUUCGGUGUGAAAGCUCGGAGCUCAACUCCGAAACGGCAUUGAAAACUCAUAGGCUGGAGGGUCGGAGGGGAGACUGGAAUUCUCGGUGUAGCAGUGAAAUGCGUAGAUAUCGAGAGGAACACCAGUGGCGAAGGCGAGUCUCUGGACGACUCCUGACACUGAGGCACGAAAGCCAGGGGAGCAAACAG